rnacentral:piRNA from 1 species
UUCAAAGUAUCACACGAUGUUUCUGCCAAG